AAGACAGGUUGGAAAGGCCCCUCCCCUGCAGCCCUCACACAGAUUUGGGGUUGCAAAUGCUGCACACUUACGGGGUGAAGGAUUCUGUGGUGCUGCAGCUGCUUGCAGGACCUAACUCCUUCAUGCCUUGUUGGUAGCCCACUCCUCAGCCCAUCUUCACUGCAACGUGCUGGUAAGCUCAGCUAUAAGACACUACAGCACUACAGAGUUCAGCAGAUAGAUCCCUAUCGGAUCCAGCGCAGCAGAGAUGUCUCUAUUUCCUAACAGUCUUUCUAGCCAACUGCUUCCUGCAUGCUUUCGAGGUCACACUGGCUGAAGA